GUGCCUAAUACAUGCAAGUCGAGCGAACGGACGAGAAGCUUGCUUCUCUGAUGUUAGCGGCGGACGGGUGAGUAACACGUGGAUAACCUACCUAUAAGACUGGGAUAACUUCGGGAAACCGGAGCUAAUACCGGAUAAUAUUUUGAACCGCAUGGUUCAAAAGUGAAAGACGGUCUUCCUGUCACUUAUAGAUGGAUCCGCGCUGCAUUAGCUAGUUGGUAAGGUAACGGCUUACCAAGGCAACGAUGCAUAGCCGACCUGAGAGGGCGAUCGGCCACACUGGAACUGAGACACGGUCCAGACUCCUACGGGAGGCAGCAGUAGGGAAUCUUCCGCAAUGGGCGAAAGCCUGACGGAGCAACGCCGCGUGAGUGAUGAAGGUCUUCGGAUCGUAAAACUCUGUUAUUAGGGAGGAACAUAUGUGUAAGUAACUGUGCACAUCUUGACGGUACCUAAUCAGAAAGCCACGGCUAACUACGUGCCAGCAGCCGCGGUAAUACGUAGGUGGCAAGCGUUAUCCGGAAUUAUUGGGCGUAAAGCGCGCGUAGGCGGUUUUUUAAGUCUGAUGUGAAAGCCCACGGCUCAACCGUGGAGGGUCAUUGGAAACUGGAAAACUUGAGUGCAGAAGAGGAAAGUGGAAUUCCAUGUGUAGCGGUGAAAUGCGCAGAGAUAUGGAGGAACACCAGUGGCGAAGGCGACUUUCUGGUCUGUAAC
rnacentral:rRNA from 1 species